UGGGGAAUAUUGGACAAUGGGCGAAAGCCUGAUCCAGCCAUGCCGCGUGUGUGAAGAAGGUCUUCGGAUUGUAAAGCACUUUAAGUUGGGAGGAAGGGCAGUAAGCGAAUACCUUGCUGUUUUGACGUUACCGACAGAAUAAGCACCGGCUAACUCUGUGCCAGCAGCCGCGGUAAUACAGAGGGUGCAAGCGUUAAUCGGAAUUACUGGGCGUAAAGCGCGCGUAGGUGGUUCGUUAAGUUGAAUGUGAAAGCCCCGGGCUCAACCUGGGAACUGCAUCCAAAACUGGCGAGCUAGAGUAGGGCAGAGGGUGGUGGAAUUUCCUGUGUAGCGGUGAAAUGCGUAGAUAUAGGAAGGAACGCCAGUUGCGAAGGCGACCACCUGGGCUCCUACUGACACUGAGGUGCGAAAGCGUGGGGAUCAAACAGG
rnacentral:rRNA from 1 species